ensembl:lncRNA
CCCUGGAGUUAUGCUUUCUGACACGGAAAUGCAGAGCAGCCCCCGUGGUUUUGAGUGUGGCACAAAGCAAGAAGGGGUUUUCUGGUCGCUGAGAGUUGUGUGCCUCAUCAAGGAGUUGCUUUGCUGGAUGAACAACCAGGCAAUUGCAAAAUCAAGAAUGAGGAUGAUCAGAGAAGAGUUUGUAUGAAUUUGAUGGCAAGUAGGAGUGGAUGGUGUUACCUGCAUCUGGGGGGACCAUAGAGAAUGCUGUAUACCAUAGAAAACCCACUACAUUGCCGGCCCUAAGAGAAGAAAUUGAAAAUUCAUGCGCAGCAACUUCAGUGACCAAGGUUACCCAAGCAGUAGUUCACUGUACUAAUAAAAGUCUGGAAGAUAAUGGCCACUACUUUGAGGACCUCUUAUAAUUGUACAGGCCAAAGAGAACACUCCUUUCUGCUCUUCCAUCACCACCCCUCAGUCACAUGGCACUGUGCCUGUUGCUCUUUGAGGUAGCCUUUCCACUUGGACACCUUCAUGAAGAUGCAUAGAUCUGAGAUUAAUAGAUGGUGUGAGUUCCCUGUCCAUUCCCCUUAGCCCACCCUGGAUGCCAGGGACUAAGUUCUCUCAUACACCAACUGCUUCCUGGUGUGUUGCCCAAGGGUGCUCUUUGGCCAUGGUGGUUGGGAUCAUCUGGAAGGGCCUUGAAAUUUACAGCCUAGAGCAACUCUCAGUCAGCUGGGCAUGGUAUUUAGUGCACUACUGUGCCCUGCCUGCUGAAGCGUGGUUCUGGCUCUAAGACUGUCCAGCU